CUUCCCGCCGAGCUCACACGGAGCUCCCCUGGCUUUCGCUGGUAGAGGUGAUGACUCUUUCCCCGUCAGAGCGGCAGUGCUGACUAUCGCUCUCCAAGCCAGGUCGUUCUGAUGCACCAGCGAAGCGGCCGGGGGCCGGUGCUGACCGUCCGCUGCUCCCGUUGCUCACUGUGCUUUGUUUCCCCGUAGGACGGUGGAGCCCACGGCGCCUGCGGGAGCCCCGUGCCCGGACCCAGGCCGGCGAUGGGGGCGCUUCCCCGGCGAGGGCCGGCAGGCCCGAGCCUCUGCCGGGACCAGACGGGCACUGAAGGCAGAAGUAGGGGGCUGAGCCUUAAAGAGACCUGAAGUUCGGGCUGCAGCUGACAGUGAAGAGGUGUGUGAUGUGGGCAGUUGUCUGGUUUGCUCCACCAUGCCUGAGUCUCUAGCAAAUAAUGGGCACUGAAGGUGGAAGUGGGUUGAGCCUUUGGGAGACCUGAAGUUAAAGCUGCAGCUCACAAUGCAGAGGUGUGGAUGAGGACAUUGUCUGGUUUGCUCCAACAUGUGUGCCCCUUUGUCGGGGGAGAAUGGUUGAGAUUUAUAAAGAUUUGUCCUGGGCCCUGCUGGAGUUGGAGUGUUCUGCUUAAGAAGAUGGAUGGUUCUGCUGCUCCCAUGCUGCUGCCUGGCAUCCUCAUUCAAGCCACAGCAUUCCCAUACCCUGCAAUAGCUCUGACCUCGAAGCUGUCAGGAGUGAUGGAUUUGUGUAUUGCCAGCUUAGGUGGAGGGUGUAACAUUUUCUGUUCCCUGAGUACAAGGCAUGUAACUGGAAUGGGUUCUGGAAGUUUCUGCAUGUUUAAUGCAGUUAGAUGCUUUUGUCUGCAGGGGCUGCAUUCCCUGCCUGGCAGCUCAUGUUGUCCUGCCACAGUCAUGCAAGGCAAGGAAGCCUUUCCUGGGAGCAGCUGUCCGGUAUUGGGAGGAUGGCCUUGUGUGAAAGGGAGUCAGGACUUGCUUCUCCCCUGCCAUCCAGAAAGCUGCAGGGGUGUGAAGUGGGCAAGAGGUGUCUGGGAUGCUGCAGCACAGUGUGUUUCUGUACUGUUGAAAGCCUAGUUUUAAUAAAAUCUUAAAUAAUGGGUUGAUUUGGCUGGUA
rnacentral:lncRNA from 1 species